rnacentral:rRNA from 1 species
UGGGGAAUUUUGGACAAUGGGCGAAAGCCUGAUCCAGCAAUGCCGCGUGUGUGAAGAAGGCCUUCGGGUUGUAAAGCACUUUUGUCCGGAAAGAAAACGCCGUGGUUAAUACCCGUGGCGGAUGACGGUACCGGAAGAAUAAGCACCGGCUAACUACGUGCCAGCAGCCGCGGUAAUACGUAGGGUGCAAGCGUUAAUCGGAAUUACUGGGCGUAAAGCGUGCGCAGGCGGUCCGCUAAGACAGAUGUGAAAUCCCCGGGCUUAACCUGGGAACUGCAUUUGUGACUGGCGGGCUAGAGUAUGGCAGAGGGGGGUCGAAUUCCACGUGUAGCAGUUAAAUGCGUAGAGAUGUGGAGGAAUACCGAUGGCGAAGGCAGCCCCCUGGGCCAAUACUGACGCUCAUGCACGAAAGCGUGGGGAGCAAACAGG